GCCAUUGUUGCCUCAAUACUUU
rnacentral:snRNA from 1 species